rnacentral:rRNA from 1 species
GAUGAACGCUGGCGGCGUGCUUAACACAUGCAAGUCAAGGGGGCCCAGCAAUGGGUAACCGGCGAACGGGUGCGUAACACGUGAGCAACCUACCGAAAUGUGGGGGAUAGCCGGCCCAACGGCCGGGUAAUACCGCAUACGCUCGAGACCAGGCAUUUGGACUCGAGGAAAUUUACGGAGCAUUUCGAGGGGCUCGCGGCCUAUCAGCUAGUUGGUGAGGUAACGGCUCACCAAGGCGACGACGGGUAGCUGGUCUGAGAGGAUGGCCAGCCACAUUGGGACUGAGAUACGGCCCAGACUCCUACGGGAGGCAGCAGUGGGGAAUCUUGCGCAAUGGCCUAACGGCUGACGCAGCGACGCCGCGUGAGGGAUGACGCUCUUCGGAGUGUAAACCUCUUUUGCCCGGGACGAAUUGCCAGUUUUCACUGGCUUGACGGUACCG